rnacentral:rRNA from 1 species
UGGGCAUUGGGGCUGCUUUCCAUGCAGUCGACGGCAGCGGGGGUGCUUGCACCUGCCGGCGAGUGGCGAACGGGUGAGUAAUGCAUCGGAACGUACCGAGUAAUGGGGGAUAACUUGCCGAAAGGUGGGCUAAUACCGCAUACGCCCUGAGGGGGAAAGUGGGGGACCGCAAGGCCUCACGUUAUUCGAGCGGCCGAUGUCGGAUUAGCUAGUUGGUGGGGUAAAGGCCUACCAAGGCGACGAUCCGUAGCGGGUCUGAGAGGAUGAUCCGCCACACUGGGACUGAGACACGGCCCAGACUCCUACGGGAGGCAGCAGUGGGGAAUUUUGGACAAUGGGGGCAACCCUGAUCCAGCCAUGCCGCGUGAGUGAAGAAGGCCUUCGGGUUGUAAAGCUCUUUCGGUCGGGACAAAAGCGCACGUGUGAAUAGCAUGUGUGGAUGAUGGUACCGACACAAGAAGCAUCGGCUAACUACGUGCCAGCAGCCGCGGUAA